ACAGCAGCCGCCACGGGAAUACGAAGGGGGCUAGCGUUGCUCGGAAUUACUGGGCGUAAAGCGCGCGUAGGCGGUUACUCAAGUCAGAGGUGAAAGCCCGGGGCUCAACCCCGGAACUGCCUUUGAAACUAGGUGACUAGAAUCUUGGAGAGGUCAGUGGAAUUCCGAGUGUAGAGGUGAAAUUCGUAGAUAUUCGGAAGAACACCAACGGCGAAAGCACUCUGCUGGGCCGACACUGACACUGAGAGACGAAAGCUAGGGGAGCAAAUGGGAUUAGAUACCCCCGUAGUCCCUGUCUCUUAUAC
rnacentral:rRNA from 1 species